GCCCAAUCAGAUCCUGGGACAGACAGAGGGAAGUAAGACAAAGGAGAAGGGCGGCCCGCUACCUUGAUGGAAGGGAGGUGAUGGCAGCACUGGGCGAGAAACGUGCAAAGUUUGUGAAUCCAAGACAGGAAAAGUAUCCGAAGUGUCUGGCAAAGUUGGGAAGAAUUGUGUGGAAGUUAUUGUAGGCAAGUGUCGGAAAAUGAUUUGAAGGGAGUGGAGAAGGAAUUGGCCUAGGUUAAAGGAAGAGAACAAAAGAACAAAUGGAACAGGGUUCCAGGGGUGACAUUCAUUGUUGAGGAUUCUGGAACUGUCAUUCAUGCACCCCCAGCAGGCUCACUGUACUACACCCCAGGCAUCUAGACUGCUUUGCAAAGAUCUUGUGGUAAUUAUU